UCUAUGGAAAGAGGAUUCGUCCAAUUGAAAUAGAGGACAGUGGUGGACGGGUGAGUAACGCGUGAGGAACCUGCCUUUCAGAGGGGGACAACAGUUGGAAACGACUGCUAAUACCGCAUAACACAUAGGAGUCGCAUGGCUCUUAUGUCAAAGAUUUAUCGCUGAAAGAUGGCCUCGCGUCUGAUUAGCUAGUUGGUGAGGUAACGGCCCACCAAGGCGACGAUCAGUAGCCGGACUGAGAGGUUGAACGGCCACAUUGGGACUGAGAUACGGCCCAGACUCCUACGGGAGGCAGCAGUGGGGAAUAUUGGGCAAUGGGCGCAAGCCUGACCCAGCAACGCCGCGUGAAGGAAGAAGGCUUUCGGGUUGUAAACUUCUUUUGUCAGGGACGAGCAGAAGACGGUACCUGACGAAUAAGCCACGGCUAACUACGUGCCAGCAGCCGCGGUAAUACGUAGGUGGCAAGCGUUGUCCGGAUUUACUGGGUGUAAAGGGCGUGUAGCCGGGUCGGCAAGUCAGAUGUGAAAUCCACGGGCUUAACUCGUGAACUGCAUUUGAAACUGUUGAUCUUGAGUAUCGGAGAGGCAAUCGGAAUUCCUAGUGUAGCGGUGAAAUGCGUAGAUAUUAGGAGGAAC
rnacentral:rRNA from 1 species